AAAGUAAAUGCUGGAACUGAGCCUGGUGCAGACCUCGGACCAGUAAUUAGCAAACACGUCAAGGAACGGAUAUCCAAGUAAAUCCAAGCAAUUGUUGAUAGUGGAGCCAAACUAGUUCUUGAUGGGAGACAAGUUGCGGUACCAAAGCUGCUUUCUUCUCUCUUAAACAUUUGUGGAUGACAACUAGGUUUCCAAAUAUGAGUUGGGCAACUUCAUUGGUCCCACAAUAUUAUCUGAUAUCAAAGAAGACAUUGAAUGUUCCAAGGAGGAACUACUAGGUCCUGUUCUUCUUUGUAUGCAGGUUUGUCCUAUGUUUCUAAGGUUCCUGUUCUUU